UCUCGUACCGUUUCUGAUUGAAAUAAAGCACCACACGUUGAAAUACACGUUGUAUUUGUGUGAAAAAGAAAAUCAAAUAUUGCUAAGUAAAGCAGUAAGCGCAAAAGGUGGUUAAAACGCGCGUACAAAAUAUGAUCAAAAUUUGAAAAUCGAGUACCAAACAAAAAAAUUUAUCAAAUAUAAAUAUAAUUAAAAUUAUACGAGUAAAAAUAUUUUAUGCGCCCAAAUACCAAUAAAAUUAAAGCAGAUGCGUGCGUAAAAAAUCGAUUCGAACGGUGGCACUAAAACGCGUGCGUUUUGUGCGUGGCAAUAAUUUUGCUUUUAAGACGGCAAUUUCACUCUAUCGGCACGCGUACAUCUACAAAUGUAUUGCUGCGUCUAUUCGUGUGUGCGUAUGUGUGCAUGCUUUUGCUAUAGCGGCAACAUAGCAAUUUAAAUUUAAUAGCGUGCGUAGCAGUUAAACUUUUGUGGGUAAGCUUAAGACUUCACCCACAAAGUUGGCGCUUAACUUUUUGGUUAAACCAAAAGUAAAGUGCAUUUGAAGAUAUUAAAAGCGAAGUUUUGAGAUCAAAACAAGUCGUAAAAAAGCGAAAUCAAAUGGAAUAUAUUUAAGCAGUCACUUGCCACAAAAAAGCAGAAGUUUCUUAUAUGAAAUUUGAGGCACUAAAAUUAAAAAAAUAAUAACAAUAAUGCGCCUUCAUCACUUCAGCGCAAAAGGAGAGUAACAAAAGGAAAGUAACAAAUAAAUUACAAAAAUUGUAUUAUAAAAUUUUUUAUUAUUUUAUUAGAAUUUCUGAAAUUCCAUAAAUCAAGUAGUGGCAUUUUUAUGCACACAACGCUUAGCGUGUCCGCCUGGGUCAACAAACCCCAUGGCAUAUCCGUAGCACAGCUGGAAAGCAACGAAAAAGAGCCAACGCUUUGCUGUAACUAAUCGCACCCACAGCGGCGUUUCAAAUCGUGUUACGCAUACCACCCGGUGUACCCGCAGCCAAGCGUGCGAGUGUCUGCCGACGACGCGAUUUGAUGUCGAGCCACGCUAGUGAUUGUGGGGUGUAAUUUGCGGUUUUAAAGCUGUUUAUGUGCCGCUGGGUGUGAGUGUGUCUUUGUAUGCACACACAUACAUCCACACAUAUGUAUAUGGGUGAACGUAAAAUUGCAUUGUAGUGGUUGUGAAAAGCGCAGGAAAUUUCGAAAAGAGUUUAGAGCGUUAAUUAUCGCCUGAAGCAAGGAGGAAAAAUAUAUAUUAGCAGCGAAAUUUUACAAUUUAUGCGAAUAAAUUUUUCGGUAGAAAUUCGUAUUGAAAUAUAGAAAGUGCGCACAAAUAAGUUGGUGAAAAAAUAAAUAAAAUUAGCGGGCAAAAAAAAAUUCAAAAUAAAUAAAAGUUGAUUGCUGGCGCUUAAAUACGAAUAAUUUCUGGUUAUACGAAAAAGUUAAUAUUUGCAGAGUUAAAACCAAAAACCUCCAAAGCCUGGAAAAUUGGGCCAAUGUGUGGCGUUUAUGAAUAUUGGUGAAAUUUAAAAAAAUUAUAAUAAAUUUAGUCAAAUUCACAUUAAAGUGCAAAAUACUAUUGUAAAUGAUGAAGAACCUGCCUUCCUUUGCUCCGAAAUUGUUGAAGAAAUACGAAAAUCAAAAAUAUUGGUGUUUGCAAGCAAAAAGCUAAUUUAAAUCAAAAAAUUCAGCAAAAAUAGCAAAAUUUAAAACUAUUCAAAAAGUUAUUUACCAAAAAUGUUGAAAGUUAAUCAGGAAAAUUUACAACAAAAGAAGACAAAUUGAAAAUUUUCACAUUAAAAUAUACAAUACAUAAAAAAGUUAUCAAUACGCAGAGCAUUGCAAUUACGCUAACAAAAUCAAAGUCUUUGAAAUAAAUGGAAAAAGUGUAAGAACAACUUACAGUAAUAUUUUACGGUAUGAAGUGAGCUGAAAAUUUUUUAAUAGGAGUGAAAGCGCAUUGAGAAAUUGAAAUGGAAAGUUAGAAGAAGGUGCAAUGAAAAUAUUUUACCUUCUAUUAUAAAAUUUAAAAAAAUAUAAAACAAGAAAUACGAUUUCUGAAAAUUGUGAAUCUCGAUGGGCAUAAUGCAAUGAAUUUUAUCGAAAUAUACAAAACAUAUACAGUUUUUGCAAAGUUAACAAAAAAACAGCACAAAAACACAAAAUUUUAAAAAUAUUGAAAAUUUUGAAUAAAAAUUAAAAAAAAAAAAUUUUGAAAAAAAAAAUUAAUUAAAAAGAAAAAAAAAUUUUAAAAAAAAAAAUUUAUUAAAAAGAAAAAAAAAUUUUGAAAAAAAAUUUCAUUUAAAAAAAAUUUUUUUGAAAAAAAAAAUUAUUUAAAAAAAAAACAAAAUUCUCCAAAAAUAGAACAAUCAAUAGCAAGCAAACAAUUAUUUGCGCUAAAUCGACCGUUAAGUAAAAAUAAAACAAAUUUAGUGAAAAAUCAUAAAAACUAAAAUUUAACAAAUAGCUAAUUUUGAGCGAAAAACUUUCAAAAAGGUUAUUGUCAAAAAAGGAAAAUCCAAAAAAUUGGGCAAUUAGUGAACAAAGAAGUUUCUAAAAGGGAAUGAGAAAAAUAUUUGAGAUUAAGAAGGUAAAAAAUUUGAGAAAACAGAAAGCCAAAUAAAAAAAAACAAAAAAAAACAGCGAUAAAUAAGUACUCAUACGGCAAAUUUUUAAAGAAAAAGUUUACAAUAAAAAAAAUAAAAAAGAAGAGAUUCAAGAAAAGUCUAAAAAAUUAAAAAAUAAAUUCUAAAACUUUUGUGAAAAAAAUAAUAAAAAAAUAAAUAAAUAAUAAACAAUAAUAAUAAAAAGCAUGGAAAAGGGAGAAAAUUUAGAAAAUAUUCCGAAAUUCAUUUAAAAACUAAUUGGUAAAAAAUCACAAAUAAUAAGACUUUCCUAAGCAUUACAAAAAAUAUGAGUUCACGCUAAUAAACAAAAAAAUAAAAAAAAAUAAACAAAAUAAGAAAACCCCCUAAAUAAGGAAAUAUUUAAUAAUGCAAUAAGCGAAACACCCAAAUUUGCUUAAUCAUUAUAUUAGUUAUUCCAUUUAUUCAGCCAUUUGUGUAACAACAUCAAGACGCGCGCCGCAAGGAGGAGCUCGGCCAAACACCUAACAGAAGUGUACGCGACAAUUAUUAAUUAUUUAUUUUUCAUAUUGAAAAUAAAUUAACAAAAUAUGAUUUUAAGCUAAUAAAAACAAUCAAAAAACAAAAAAAAAAAAAAAUAAAAGCUAAUUUCAAAAAUAUUAUUUGUGCAGUUCAACUAAGAAACAAGAAACAUUCAAAACGUGCUGAAUUUAGACUUACAGGCAAGCCACAAGCCACAAACCACAUAUAAAUAAUAAAUGAAAAGAAAACUGUGAAAGCAAAGAACUUGGAGAAGCGCAAAAUGUAAUAUUUAAAAACAAAAACAAGCAAAACUCAAUGAAGGCGAAAAUACUGAAUUUCAAGUGAGUUAUAAGAAAUGGCAGUCAUGUGAAGCUGUACUCGAGUGAAACCAAAUAUUGAUUGAUUAAAGAAACACAGACAGAAAUUGCAUUAAAAAUAUUUUCAUGUCAAGCAAAAAAGGGUAAGCAGGCCAUACCAAAAUAUUUGCCCUACAAAGCACACAAAUAACGGCAAAAUAUUAAAAGUGAUUGAUUUUCCAAACAAAUAAUUUGAAAGUUGAUUAAAAAACAGAAGAAAAAGUGCAACGCUCGACGAGCGAAGUGCAAAAACGCAUUUUAAUAAAACAACAACAAAAAAAAUUAUUUUAAAGUGCAAACAAAAAUCAAUAGAAUUUGAAUACAAUAAAAACCAGAUCAUCUUUUUUUCGUUGACUAUGAAAGAGCACAAAAUUUAAAUGAAGCGUUAGAAGAAAGGAACUUUUCGUAAAGAGAAUUUGGGAAUUGCUAAAAGAAAAGAAGAAAAAUUCCAACACUUGACGAAAAAAUUUAUUUUAACAACAAAAACAAAAACAAAUUAAUAUUAUAAAAGUACAAUCAAAAAUCAAAACAUUUGAUCAAAAUAAAAGAGGUCACACAACUUCGUUUUCUCUGACUUUGAAAGGGAACAAAAUUUAAAAAAAGUGGAAACAGAAAAAACCACCUUUCAAAAAUCUAACGUCCGGAAAAAGAAAAAACCAACAUCCAAAAACGUUUGAAAAAAAAAAUAUUUAAGAAAAACAAGCGUAAAAA